rnacentral:lncRNA from 1 species
CAAUAUCCAGUGAAAAGCACAUGACCCACUUCAACUUUGAAAAACCAAACACUGACCUAUUUGUUCUAAGAAAACAAACCAGUGGUAGGUUCCAAUUUAUCAAAUACUUAGAUUAAACUCCAUAAUAUCUAAUAAUUAUCUAAGUGAACAGCAGACUAACAUGGAUCAAACUUUAACUAAGACAAAGAAACAACUAAAUCAAAGCAAUCAUGAGGAAAUGAACAAAGAAAUAAAAAAAAUCAACGAAAAGCAUGAAAUUUAAAAGAGAAAAAUGAAUAAAAGAAACAUUAAAGAUGAGGACAAUAGGUGAAAACAGACCUUUCUUUAGCUUUCAAUAAUAACUUUGUACAAAGGAAUCUGACAUCGACAAACUUUGCAGAAAACAAAAACAAGAACUAGGAUAUACGUCCGGCGAACUCGAACAAUGGCCUCGAUAAUCUCGACUCAAAUGGGUUAUUUUCGCUGAUGUUUUAUGUGAAAAAGGAGAAUGCUUCAAGGUGUUUUUAAUGGUAUUUUGGUAGGUUUAAGGGUGCAUUUUGGGGCUGAUUUUAGCAGCUUUUGGACCUGUUUUGCAGCAUGAUUUUCGCUGCUUUUCUGAGCUGCUUUUGAGCUGUUUCAUAGCUGCUGGGGUUUGUGUUCUUGUGUGUGUGUGUUGGUCGUUUUUUGUUUGGAAGAAACCAUGGCAGAAGGCUGAAGAAGAAGAUAGGAUAGGAGGUUGGGUAUUUUUGUUGUCUCAGCUGAAGAAACGGCGG